rnacentral:rRNA from 1 species
CAGUCGCCGCGGGAAUACGAAGGGUGCAAGCGUUAAUCGGAAUUACUGGGCGUAAAGCGUGCGUAGGCGGUUUGUUAAGUCUGUUGUGAAAUCCCCGGGCUCAACCUGGGAAUGGCAAUGGAUACUGGCAAGCUAGAGUGUGUCAGAGGAUGGUGGAAUUCCCGGUGUAGCGGUGAAAUGCGUAGAGAUCGGGAGGAACAUCAGUGGCGAAGGCGGCCAUCUGGGACAACACUGACGCUGAGGCACGAAAGCGCGGGGAGCAAACAGGAUUAGAUACCCCUGUAGUCCCUGUCUAUUAUAC